rnacentral:rRNA from 1 species
CCUCAGUGUCAGUAUCAGUCCAGGUGGUCGCCUUCGCCACUGGUGUUCCUUCCUAUAUCUACGCAUUUCACCGCUACACAGGAAAUUCCACCACCCUCUACCAUACUCUAGCUUGUCAGUUUUGAAUGCAGUUCCCAGGUUGAGCCCGGGGAUUUCACAUCCAACUUAACAAACCACCUACGCGCGCUUUACGCCCAGUAAUUCCGAUUAACGCUUGCACCCUCUGUAUUACCGCGGCUGCUGGCACAGAGUUAGCCGGUGCUUAUUCUGUCGGUAACGUCAAAACAGCAAAGUAUUAAUUUACUGCCCUUCCUCCCAACUUAAAGUGCUUUACAAUCCGAAGACCUUCUUCACACACGCGGCAUGGCUGGAUCAGGCUUUCGCCCAUUGUCCAAUAUUCCCCACUGCUGCCUCCCGUAGGAGUCUGGACCGUGUCUCAGUUCCAGUGUGACUGAUCAUCCUCUCAGACCAGUUACGGAUCGUCGCCUUGGUGAGCCAUUACCUCACCAACUAGCUAAUCCGACCUAGGCUCAUCUGAUAGCGCAAGGCCCGAAGGUCCCCUGCUUUCUCCCGUAGGACGUAUGCGGUAUUAGCGUCCCUUUCGAGACGUUGUCCCCCACUACCAGGCAGAUUCCUAGGCAUUACUCACCCGUCCGCCGCUGAAUCAGAGAGCAAGCUCUCAUCAUCCGCUCGACUUGCAUGUGUUAGGCCUGCCGCCAGCGUUCAAU